GAUGAAGAACGCAGCGAAAUGCGAUAAGUAGUGUGAAUUGCAGAAUUCAGUGAAUCAUCGAGUCUUUGAACGCACAUUGCGCCCCCUGGUAUUCCGGGGGGCAUGCCUGUCCGAGCGUCAUUGCUGCCCUCAAGCACGGCUUGUGUGUUGGGCCCCCGUCCCCGGUUUCCCCCGGGGACGGGCCCGAAAGGCAGCGGCGGCACCGCGUCCGGUCCUCGAGCGUAUGGGGCUUUGUCACCCGCUCUGUAGGCCCGGCCGGCGCCAGCCGACACCCAACUUUAUUUCUAAGGUUGACCUCGGAUCAGGUAGGGAUACCCGCUGAACUUAAGCAUAUCAUAAGCGGAGGA
rnacentral:misc_RNA from 1 species